CCUCCUGCUGUCAGUAACAAGGAUUCAUCCUGUUGUGAAAAUACAGUUUCAGCAGGGAAUCUCUGUUACUGGCCGUAAAGGA
rnacentral:pre_miRNA from 1 species